UGACUCUGAUUCCUCUUCAGAUCGAACAAAUCUUUCGCCUUUUACUAAAGAUUUCCGUGGAGAGGCUUCACAAGAGUUUAACUCAAUUUUUGUGUUGCCCUGCUAAUGGUAGGGCU
rnacentral:snRNA from 1 species